AAUAAACAUAUCUUUCACUUUUUAUCUAUAAUUUUUGACUCGUCGUCUUGUUUAAGAUUUUUUUAUGAUUAAUAUUUUUGUUUUUAUUAGAUGAUAAAUUAUGAAUAAUACUUUACGUGUGACUAAUUUUUUUAAAUUUCUUAAAAAAAUUUCAAACAAGAUGGAUGGUUAAAUGCUGGGCACAGGAACUAAAAAGUUGUCUUAUU
rnacentral:pre_miRNA from 1 species